GGCCCCAUCGUCUAGCCUGGUCCAGGACGGAUGGUUCUCAGCCAUCAAACCGGGGUUCAAAUCCCCGUGGGGUCACCA
rnacentral:tRNA from 2 species